AUGAUAUCAGCUGUGCAGAAGCAUGCUAACUGGAUUGCAUCAUUAAAGGGUCACCUCGCUGACAGAACAUCAAGUGGGGAAGCCUCAUCAUCUGUUAAGAAAACCUCUAAAAGGGAUGAUACUCACAGAAGCACCAGAGGUGUGCUCUUGGAGGAAAUAAGCUUGGAAGGACUCAGGAAGAAGGGACAGAAUGCAACCUGGUGGAAAAGUUCUCGUACCAAUCCUCAGUUGAGGAUGAGCCACCACAGGGGAAGGUCAGUCCACAUGGUUUGGUUGGAGAAAAGGUUUCUUAACUUUAUCCUUUUGAAUUUCAGUACGGUAGGAGAAUCUGACCCUAUGUGUCAUAGGUGAUUUGUACAGUGUCUUUGGUGGGGAGAAUUCUGAGUGAGAGUCUGUUCCCCACUGAGGCUUGAUUUAAGACAGGAGGAGAAAAUGGCAGCACCAGCCACGCACUUAGUGACAGUGAGCUUCCUCCUCUGCAGCUUGAUUCCGUGCUUGGGGCAGAAUCACUUCACUGCCAAGUCACAGGACCUU
rnacentral:lncRNA from 13 species